AUUGAACGCUGGCGGCAUGCCUUACACAUGCAAGUCGAACGGCAGCACGGGAGCAAUCCUGGUGGCGAGUGGCGAACGGGUGAGUAAUAUAUCGGAACGUGCCCGGUCGUGGGGAUAACGUAGCGAAAGCUACGCUAAUACCGCAUACGAUCUACGGAUGAAAGCGGGGGAUCGCAAGACCUCGCGCGAUUGGAGCGGCCGAUAUCAGAUUAGGUAGUUGGUGAGGUAAAGGGCUCACCAAGCCGACGAUCUGUAGCUGGUCUGAGAGGACGACCAGCCACACUGGGACUGAGACACGGCCCAGACUCCUACGGAGGCAGCA
rnacentral:rRNA from 1 species